rnacentral:rRNA from 1 species
CCUACGGGGGGCUGCAGUGAGGAAUAUUGGUCAAUGGGAGGAAUCCUGAACCAGCCAUGCCGCGUGCAGGACGACGGCUCUACGAGUUGUAAACUGCUUUUGUACCGGGGUAAAAUGCUCUACGAGUAGGGUUUUGAAAGUACGGUACGAAUAAGGAUCGGCUAACUCCGUGCCAACAGCCGCGGUAAUACGGAGGAUCCGAGCGUUAUCCGGAUUCAUUGGGUUUAAAGGGUGCGUAGGUUGUCUGUUAAGUCAGCGGUCAAAGCCCGGGGCUCAACCCCGGCCCGCCGUUGAAACUGGCAGUCUCGAGUUGGAGAGAAGUAUGCGGAAUGCGCGGUGUAGCGGUGAAAUGCAUAGAUAUCGCGCAGAACUCCGAUUGCGAAGGCAGCAUGCCGGCUCCACACUGACGCUGAGGCACGAAAGCGUGGGUAUCGAACAGGAUUAGAUACCCCGGUAGUC